ensembl:lncRNA
GGUGUAUGUGUCUGUGUGCGUGCGUGUGUGUGUGUCCUUGCACGUUUGCGCCUGUGCAUGUGUUUGCUCUUGCAUGGGGUGGGGUUGAGAAUGGGUGGCGAUGGCGGUGAUGGAGAUUGGGGGGUACCGGACUGCCUCCCGUAGCAGCUCGAGUGCUGCGCUGGGCAGGGAGCAGACAGAUUCGGACGGCCCUGGUGGACCCACGCUCCCGCAUGCAGGGGCAUCAUGCACAGCUCAGAUAGAGUUCAGGCGUGUAUUCUGCUACUGAUGGGAAUGGUGAUGAUCGGCUAUUCCUACGUAACGCAACCGCAAACGGCCGUUGCAGAGGCUACGUCUCUCGCCGAGAACCGGCAGGAGGAGCGUCGCCGCGGUAACGACGGGCCGACGGCGUACGAGGAGCGGCGCGGGCCGGAGCGCGAGGAGAAGGAGCGGAACCUGGUGGACGGGGUUCACCUCCGGGAGCGUCCCGGGGAACUCCAGCACCGAGGGGCGGUGUGGGAGGGGGAAGGGGAGGUCGACGGGGCGCCCCCUGGAGACCCCCGGCACGUCGCGCCGCCCUCGGCCCCCCCGAUCGGAG